rnacentral:rRNA from 1 species
GGCGGGUACGUUAAUAGCGUAUUCGUUUGACGUUAGCGACAGAAGAAGCACCGGCUAACUCCGUGCCAGCAGCCGCGGUAAUACGGAGGGUGCGAGCGUUAAUCGGAAUUACUGGGCGUAAAAGCGCAUGCUAGGUGGUUUGUUAAGUCAGAUGUGAAAAAGCCCCGGGCUCAAACCUCGGAAAUAGCAUUUUGAAAAACUGGCAGACUAGAGUACUGUAGAGGGGGUAGAAUUUCAGGUGUAGCGGUGAAAAUGCGUAGAGAUCUGAAGGAAUACCGGUGGCGAAGGCGGCCCCCUGGACAGAUACUGACACUCAGAUGCGAAAGCGUGGGGAGCAAACAGGAUUAGAUACCCUGGUAG